rnacentral:tRNA from 1 species
GGGUGCUGGUGUGCGAGGCGGGCUGCGUCCUCCAAACCCUAAGCGAGCUCGUGGAGAGGAGCGGGUUCGA